AACGUAGGUGGCGAGCGUUAUCCGGAUUUACUGGGCGUAAAGCGUGUGCAGGCGGCCUGUCAAGUGGGGUGUGAAAUAUCCAGGCUCAACCUGGAGGGGUUAUGCCAGACUGGCAGGCUAGAGUGCGAGAGAGGGGCGUGGAAUUCCGGGUGUAGUGGUGAAAUGCGUAGAGAUCCGGAGGAACCCCAGAGGCGAAGGCGGCGCCCUGGCUCGCCACUGACGCUCAGACACGACAGCAUGGGGAGCAAACGGG
rnacentral:rRNA from 1 species